AGCAGCCGCGGUAAUUCCAGCUCCAAUAGCGUAUAUUAAAGUUGUUGCAGUUAAAAAGCUCGUAGUUGAAUUUCGGGAUCAAUUUAUCGGUCGUGCCAAUGGUAUGAACUGGUACAAUUGGUUUCUCCCUUCUGACGAAGCAUGAUGUCAUUAAUUUGGUGUCGUGGGGAAUCAGGACUGUUACUUUGAAAAAAUUGAGUGUUUAAAGCAAGCAUUAGCUUGAAUACAUUAGCAUGGAAUAAUGAAAUAGGACGUUUGAUCCUAUUUCGUUGGUUUCUAGGAUCGACGUAAUGAUUAAUAGGGAUAGUUGGGGGCAUUAGUAUUCAAUUGUCAGAGGUGAAAUUCUUGGAUUUUAUUGAAGACUAACUACUGUGAAAGCAUUUGCCAAGGAUGUUUUCAUUAAUUCAAGAACGAAAGUUAGGGGAUCGAAGACGAUCAGAUACCGUCGUAGUCUUAACCAUAAACUAUGCCGACUAGGGAUCGGAUGAUGUUUAAUUUUUUAAUAGACUUCAUUCGGUCG
rnacentral:rRNA from 1 species